AACGAACGCUGGCGGCAUGCCUAACACAUGCAAGUCGAACGAGACCUUCGGGUCUAGUGGCGCACGGGUGCGUAACGCGUGGGAAUCUGCCCUUGGGUUCGGGAUAACAGUUGGAAACGACUGCUAAUACCGAAUGAUGUCUUCGGACCAAAGAUUUAUCGCCCAGGGAUGAGCCCGCGUCGGAUUAGCUAGUUGGUGAGGUAAAGGCUCACCAAGGCGACGAUCCGUAGCUGGUCUGAGAGGAUGUUCAGCCACACUGGGACUGAGACACGGCCCAGACUCCUACGGGAGGCAGCAGUGGGGAAUAUUGGACAAUGGGCGAAAGCCUGAUCCAGCAAUGCCGCGUGAGUGAUGAAGGCCUUAGGGUUGUAAAGCUCUUUUACCCGGGAUGAUAAUGACAGUACCGGGAGAAUAAGCCCCGGCUAACUCCGUGCCAGCCGCCGCGGUAAAAC
rnacentral:rRNA from 1 species